rnacentral:rRNA from 1 species
UACGAAGGGGGCUAGCGUUGUUCGGAAUUACUGGGCGUAAAGCGUGCGCAGGCGGUUCGUCGCGUCUGCUGUGAAAACGCGAGGCUCAACCUCGCGCCUGCAGUGGGUACGGGCAGACUAGAGUGCGGUAGGGGAGAUUGGAAUUCCUGGUGUAGCGGUGGAAUGCGCAGAUAUCAGGAGGAACACCGAUGGCGAAGGCAGGUCUCUGGGCCACUACUGACGCUGAGAAGCGAAAGCAUGGGGAGCGAACAGG